GACGAACGCUGGCGGCGUGCUUAACACAUGCAAGUCGAACGGAAAGGCCCUGCUUUUGUGGGGUGCUCGAGUGGCGAACGGGUGAGUAACACGUGAGUAACCUGCCCUUGACUUUGGGAUAACUUCAGGAAACUGGGGCUGAUACCGGAUAGGAGCUCCUGCUGCAUGGUGGGGGUUGGAAAGUUUCGGCGGUUGGGGAUGGACUCGCGGCUUAUCAGCUUGUUGGUGGGGUAGUGGCUUACCAAGGCUUUGACGGGUAGCCGGCCUGAGAGGGUGACCGGCCACAUUGGGACUGAGAUACGGCCCAGACUCGUACGGGAGGCAGCAGUGGGGAAUAUUGCACAAUGGGCGGAAGCCUGAGGCAGCAACGCCGCGUGCGGGAUGACGGCCUUCGGGUUGUGAACCGCUUUCGCCUGUGACGAAGCGUGAGUGACGGUAAUGGGUAAAGAAGCACCGGCUAACUACGUG
rnacentral:rRNA from 1 species